CCCGACCGUUGCUGCUACCUUGACGUGGUGGUCGGGCUUGCUUAUUGUGAUGAACCAAUCGGGCUAUAAUGGCAGGGACAAUCGUUCCUCAAGGUCCUCCCAUGCCAGGCAGGUCGGUUAAAGUGCGGUAAGACUAAAAGUAGC
rnacentral:ribozyme from 1 species